UCUCACAAUUUACUAGUGACAUCUAGCAGUAUAUAGUGGUAAUUCAGCAGAAUCGAAAAAGAAUCUCAAGGUAUAAUUUUUGUGUGAUUCAGUCUCUCUAUCGUGACUUCCGACUAGAUCGUAGAUCAUAGAUAAAUCGUCAAACCUCAUCAUCAGUCAUAUGAUAGAUUCGAUUAGCUCAAGUUCAAUUGUGAUUUUCAUGGAAACUCUUUUCCAUCAAUCAUACUGCUGUGGCUACAGAGUUAUGGACUCAACUUUUUAAAUUUUAUAGGACUAUUUUUUUCUAUCA
rnacentral:lncRNA from 1 species